AUACGUGGCAGAGCUGGCACUGGAACUCAGGCACGACCUACCCCAGAGUCAACACUGUCCACAGCAUCUCUGCAGGGCACGGCGUGAGCCCCAGUGCAAGGCAGUAACCUCCCUUUUCUGUUUCAGGCCCUGAAGCGCCAGAGCUCGUUGGGCCUUUCCUUCUUUAACAGCAUCUUGGCCCAUGGGGACCUACGCAACAACAAGCUCAACCAGCUCUCCGUCAACCUGUGGCACCUGGCACAGAGGCACGGCUGUGCAGACACCAGGACCAUGGUGAAAACGCUAGAAUACAUCAAGAAACAAAGCAAACAACCAGACAUGACUCAUCUGACGGAGCUGGCCCUCAGACUCCCUCUGCAAACAAGGACCUGACCCCCGGGCCCAUUGGCCAGGCUCUGGGACUCUGGCGCCAAAUCCAGAAAGAUCUGCUCUGCUGCCCUGAACUCUUACUGCAAUUUAGGUUUCUCAUUUUUCUUUUCCUUUUACAUAUGUACAAAUUGGUUUAAGCUUUGGCCUCUAUCCAGGUUAUUCUGACAAUGAAAUGGGAGUUGUCAGAGCAUUAAAAUGCAAUCUUCAUUAAGAAGCAGUCUCUGUGUUGUCUUUGCACAAGUGGCCUUCAGUCUACUCAGCCCAAUCCGACGGGCCUUUUUAGCAAGAGAGAAACAAGAAUGCAAGUAACAUCUUUCUUCUCUGGAAGGUGUUUGUGUUUUCAUAGUUUAGAAAUAAGGACUUUAAAAGUGGACUGCUUUUCAAAGUGCCACUGUUCCACACCCAUUCCAUUCCAGACUUUGUACCUUAAAGUUAGAGCACACCCAAAGUCUGGAACUGUGUUACCUGAACCCCUAUGGAGGAUUUAUAAAAGGCAGAAAUAGCACUCCAUUAACUCUUUUUCCUAUGAAAAGCAGCUCUUGAUUGGACUUAGAAUCUGUGUUGGUGGAUCAAAGGAGAAAGCAAGGUCAAAUUUGAGAUUCUCUGUGGCUUCAGUAUACAGUAACUGAAUAAAUGUCCUGAAGG
rnacentral:sRNA from 1 species